CAGCACCUCAAGUGGUCAGGAUGAUUAUUGGGCCUAAAGCAUCCGUAGCCGGCUUAUCAAGUCUUUUGUUAAAUCCAACGAUUCAAUCGUUGGGCCGCAAAAGAUACUGUUAUGCUAGAGGACGGGAGAGGUCGACGGUAGUCCAGGGGUAGGGGUGAAAUCCUAUAAUCCUUGGAGGACCACCAGUGGCGAAGGCGGUCGACUAGAACGUGCCUGGCGGUGAGGGACGAAAGCUGGGGGAGCGAACCGGAUUAGAUACCCGAGUAGUCC
rnacentral:rRNA from 1 species